UCCUUUUGUUGCGGCUUUGAGGUCUGGUUAGGUGGUUAUUAUGGGCUUGCCGAAUCCACUGCAUCUUCGCCUCAACCCACUCUCCAACCCUCCUACCCCCACUUAGAUUUCAAGUUCCUUAGGGAGGUAGAUCUUUUUUUUUUUUUUUUUUUUUUUGAGACAGAGUCUCCCUCUGGAGUGAGUGCAGUGGCACGAUCUUGGCUCACAGCAAGCUCCGCCUCCGGGUUCACGCCAUUCUCCUGCCUCAGCCUCCGGAGUAGCUGGGACUACAGGCGCUCACCACCACGCCUGGCUAAUUUUUUUUUUGUAUUUUUUUUUUUUUUUUUUUUGUAGAGAUGGAGUUUCACCGUGUUAGCCACCAUAGUCUCGAUCUGUCAGGAGUUCCAGCCAUGCGAGAUUUCUGUGAAGGAUUUAAACAAGAGAAAAACAAAGGAGAAGUAAGCAGCCUGCAAAGAAAUGUUUAGAAAAUUCCAAGUGGGUGAAGCUUGCGGGAUUUGAUGAGCCUGAAGAGCUUCCUUUAGGAUUUCUUGUGAGACAAGUCAGCUUUUAUUUGUCUGGAAAAGUCUUUAUCUCACUUUUAUUUGUGAAGAACAGCUUUGGCAAAAUGAAGAUACUGCUGUGGAAAACUGGCUGGUCAAUAUGAGCUCCACUGAACUUUUGUUUUUGUUAACAAUGUACCUCAUUCUGAAGAAUAACUGUAGAAUGUACUGGGAAUGCAACAUCCUGAGAGAAGAAAGGACUGGCUAGAACAGCCCAGGUCCUGUUCCAGUUCCCUUGGAAACUGAAUGUCUUUCAAUGCUUUGUCCAGGGGGUAACUUCACCUUGGAGUAUAAAACCCAGGGUGGGCUGCUUCUGCGGGUCCCUAGCUGAGGUACAAGUGUGGCAUGCACAGACAGGACUACACCUCCCCCGAGCAGCUUUCCCCAGCCUUGGAGGACUAGUUUGCCAUGAAUCCCAGGUGCUGUUGGCCCUUGCUGCCUAUCUGUAAGUAAUAAAUCCACGUACAUG